rnacentral:rRNA from 1 species
GGACCCGCACAAGCGGUGGAGCAUGUGGUUUAAUUCGAUGCAACGCGAAAAACCUUACCUAUACUUGACAUACUUGGAAUGCUUUGUAAUGAAGCAGUGCCUUCGGGAGCCAGGAUACAGGUGCUGCAUGGCUGUCGUCAGCUCGUGUCGUGAGAUGUUCCGUUAAGUCGGAUAACGAGCGCAACCCUUACCCUUAUUUGCCAGCGAUUCGGUCGGGAACUAUAAGGGGACUGCCGGUGAUAAACCGGAGGAAGGUGAGGACGACGUCAAGUCAUCAUGGCCCUUACGUAUAGGGCUACACACGUGCUACAAUGGGGAAUACAGACGGACGCUAAGCCGCGAGGUGGUGCUAAUCCUAGAAAGUCUCUCGUAGUCCGAAUUGCAGUCUGGAACUCGACUGCAUG